GAUAAAUACAUUUAUUAACAUCAUACAUUUUUUCAUACAUACUUUAAUAUAUGUAUGCGUUAAAAUAUUUUUUAAAUGACUAUGAUCUGAUGGUAGUAGAGAUUGAUUUUACUUGAAAAUAUUAACUUCAUACAUAUCAAAUGCAUCAUCCUUAACUAUAUAAUUUGUUUGCAAAAGGCUUGCUGAAGUAUAAACAAAAAAUAAAGAAGCAGUUUUUCAUACUUUACACACUUAUAAAGAGUUGCUGGCUAGCAGGAAGACAAUUGACUUAUUUUAUAAUGAAAAUUUACUUUGAUCUUUUGAAGGCUAGUACUAUGUAGGACAUUUUCCAGAAGACCAGAGAUACUUCA
rnacentral:lncRNA from 1 species